UGAGUGAGGACUUACUGUAUUAAAACUGAAACGAUACAAGGAAGAUCAGUAUGUGCCCCGAGCAAGAAUAACAUGCAAAUUCGUGAAGCGUUCCAUAUUUUU